CCUACGGGUGGCAGCAGUAGGGAAUCUUUCACAAUGGGCGAAAGCCUGAUGGAGCAACGCAGCGUGCAGGAUGAAGGCCUUCGGGUUGUAAACUGCUUUUAUAAGCGAGAAAUAUGAUGGUAACUUAUGAAUAAGGAUCGGCCAAUUACGUGCCAGCAGCCGCGGUCAUACGUAGGAUCCGAGCAUUAUCCGGAGUGACUGGGUGUAAAGGGUUGCGUAGGUGGCAUAAUAAGUAGCUAGUGGAAUCUGGUGGCUCAACCAUUCAAACUAUUAGCUAAACUGUUAGGCUCGAGACCGUUAGUGGUAACUGGAAUUUCUAGUGUAGGGGUGAAAUCCGUAGAUAUUAGGAGGAACACCAAUUGCGUAGGCAGGUUACUGGGACGGUUCUGACACUAAGGCACGAAAGCGUCGGGAGCAAACAGGAUUAGAUACCCCGGUAGUC
rnacentral:rRNA from 1 species